rnacentral:lncRNA from 1 species
GUUGGUUUGUUAUGAUUUUACAAUUAUGAGAAAUAUUACAUAGACGAUCCGACAAUCGACAAUACUACCUGUCUUAUAAGGAUCUACGUCUAACUGCAUCACCUGAUCCGUCCUACGAAGAUCACGCCUGACUGAGUUUAUUUGCACCACGUUGAAGAUCUCUUGUAAGUCUUUCCUCCGUAGUCUGCAUAAUUAUUUAAUAAAUCGCCUUCUCCGAAAAUUGAAACAUGAACCUGCUGGUGUAGAAGCAUUAAUGAACCCUUAGUCAAACCAUUAGACUAAGGGGGCUUUCCAAACCAAAAAAAAAUAUUGAAGUUUUAUGAGGUGAAAAAUAUAUGGUGUCUAUUAAUUCUAUUUUUGUUCUUUUAACAGUUUUGUAGGCAUUUUAUACGGACUCAAUUUUCUAUCUUUAGAAAUAAAAUUUAGCUAUAUACAAUAAUAUGACUAGAGGUACAUAAAAAAUUCAAGCAAUAAAGAAUCAGUUAAAAAAAUCAGUUUUUUUUAAAAAAAAUCAGUUAAAAAUAAAAGAAAACAUGUCUAAGGGUGAAAAUAUUGUUUGUUUCAUUAUCUUCUUAGUGAUAUUUUUGGUGGUUUCAACAGGUAAUUUUAACAUAGUUUUUGAAGUCUCCCAAAAGCAUGUCUUUGAUUUCUAAGCAUGAUGUGUAUUACAUAUGGGCAUUCAGAUUUUGGAACUAAUUCAAUUCGGUUUCUAUCAGAUCCGGAACUUUAGGUUUAUAUAUAUUUGAAGUCAAAUUGGAAUUUAUAAAUUUUGUUUGGGUUUGGGUUCAGUUUCCACAUUGUGUAUUCUAAUAUUACAAGCUCUAACCUUUUGCAUUUAAAAGGUUUUUAUUAGUCAUCAAUGUUUAACACAAAACAAAAUUAUUAAAAAAAUUAUAGAUGCUAAGAUGCGUUUGGUUUAUGGUGUUUACAAUGUAGAAAAUUGAUCUAUAUAUGUUUUGUCAUAAUCACUUUCCAACAGAGAAAAUAGCUGCUGAAAAACUGGACCGUGAUUGUCGAGGACUGCCACUCCUUGUGGCACCGCCUCACCAAGUUUUGUAAAAUUACUAUUCUGAUUUUGAAGAGAUAAUGACUUUUUUCUUCCAAGUUUUAUCUUACUGAAAGGUAAACUGACAUUUACAUAUUGUCCUAAUCUCUUAUUUGAGUCACAUUCAUAGCAAAUAGCCGGACAUUCAAUAAAGUAGAGAAAUCAUAAAUUGGCUACUUUGUUGUCAGGCAUUGAGUGAAAUGAAUUCCUGUAAUACCUUCGAAAGCUUCAAGUGCCUUCUGGGAUGCUUUUGUUGGAUGUUUCUUUUUUGUUUUUUGGCACAGAUGUAUUAGUCUAUCAAUGCAAACUGGACAACAUAACGAUGUGAAGUAUGCAUAUGAAUUGAAGACUGAGACUACAACAAGAUUAUUGCAACAGUUGAUGUUAUUGAACUUUUUGCUCUAUUAUUUAUUUGGAAAAUAAUAUAUUAUCUGCCUAAAUAAGUCAUGUGAAUGCAUAAUAACUGAUUGUAUGAAAGUGGACAUUCUCUUCUUUCACGAAUUAUGCUUUAUAUAGUUGGUCGCUGUCUCGCUGAUUAUUGUUUUUUCCUUACUCAUUUUUCUUCAUGAUCAAGUUGGAUUGCUCAAUUUAUUUUAGACGGGUGUUCUCAAAUUUGAAAUGAGUAAUUAUUUCUUACUUUAGAUCUCUUAACCUCAUAAAGCAGAAACUGUCAAAUGUCUUUUGAAACAUGUAUUGCUAUUAUUAUAUGUGGAUUUCUUUUCACUGGCUAGAGAAAAAAAAAAGACAAAACUAUGAAAGAAGUUUUUUUUGUCAAAAACUAUGAAAAGUUUUCACCACUAAACUAUUCACAUAAAAAUGGGGAGAAUCAAUGAAUAUGACAUAAAUUUGUUGUAAAUAAUUUUUGUUAUUAUAUAGACUUAUAUUUUUUUUAUAAUAUGACCACAAUAUAUAUGUCCGAAACCGGGAAAAUCUCUAGUUAUUAUAAUGAAGAUUUUGUAAAACAAUGUAUGCGCAUAGUGCGGAUAUUUUCUACUAUCAAAAAAGGCAGUAGAAGUAGAGAGUUUGAGGUGCGACAAAUCAAUACAAGAUUGACGAACAAAAGCUUUGAGAAAAUGUUAUGUGUUACUUUAUUUUCUACUAUUUAACUUUUUAGUUUAUAACUAAUAUACUCAAUUGUUUUUUUAUUAUUGAUUUUAUAUGUUUAUUAUUUUCAAAGUAACAAAUGUUUUAUGGAUUUUUAAUUAAUUAAAAUAUUAUUAUUUGUAUCCAAGGUAUUAUAUAAAAUUAUAUAAAAUGAUUAUACGUAUCAUUAAAAUUAAUUUCAGAGACUUUUAUAUCUUUUAAAUAAUUUUAUAUAAUAUUAUUUUUAUGCUUUUUAAACUUAUUUAUUUGUAUGCUAUUUCAGUCACAUAUUAGUCAAAUCACUUUUGGAUUAAUUUCAAAAUAUGGAAAAGAGUAUUAAUUAUUGAACAAUCAAUGAGAGUUCGAUAAAUUAAUAUAUCCCAAUUAUAUUUUGGAAAAUUAAAAUAAAUAGAAAAUUGAAGUUUUUUUUUUUAACGUUGGUUUGUUAUGAUUUUACAAUUAUGAGAAAUAUUACAUAGACGAUCCGACAAUCGACAAUACUACCUGUCUUAUAAGGAUCUACGUCUAACUGCAUCACCUGAUCCGUCCUACGAAGAUCACGCCUGACUGAGUUUAUUUGCACCACGUUGAAGAUCUCUUGUAAGUCUUUCCUCCGUAGUCUGCAUAAUUAUUUAAUAAAUCGCCUUCUCCGAAAAUUGAAACAUGAACCUGCUGGUGUAGAAGCAUUAAUGAACCCUUAGUCAAACCAUUAGACUAAGGGGGCUUU